rnacentral:tRNA from 1 species
GGUGGGUUGGCUGAGUGGUCUAAAGCAGGGGCUUGCUAAGCCUCGGGGAGUAAAUUUUCCCCUCGCAGGUUCGAAUCCUGCACCCACCG